rnacentral:misc_RNA from 1 species
GAUGAAGAACGUAGCGAAAUGCGAUAAGUAGUGUGAAUUGCAGAAUUCAGUGAAUCAUCGAAUCUUUGAACGCACAUUGCGCCCCUUGGUAUUCCAUGGGGCAUGCCUGUUCGAGCGUCAUUUGUACCUUCAAGCUUUGCUUGGUGUUGGGUGUUUGUCUCGCCUCUGCGUGUAGACUCGCCUCAAAACAAUUGGCAGCCGGCGUAUUGAUUUCGGAGCGCAGUACAUCUCGCGCUUUGCACUCAUAACGACGACGUCCAAAAGUACAUUUUUACACUCUUGACCUCGGAUCAGGUAGGGAUACCCGCUGAACUUAAGCAUAUCAAUAAGCGGAGGAA